UGAAUGGAAGGCGCUGGAUAGCGGCAAACGGGUGAGGAAUACGUGAGCAAUUUUCCUUAAAGUCGAAUAUAGCUUCGUGAAAACGGAGGUAAUAUUCGAUGUGGUCCAGACAUCGCAUGAUGUUUGGAUUAAAGGUGGGGACCUUCGGGCCUACCGCUUUUUGAUGAGCUCGCGUCCUAUCAGCUUGUUGGUGAGGUAAUGGCUCACCAAGGCAUUUGAUGGGUAGUUGGUCUGAGAGGAUGGUUAGCCACACUGGGACUGAGACACUGCCCAGACUCCUACGGGAGGCUGCAGUCGAGAAUCUUUAGCAAUGGACGAAAGUCUGACUAAGCGACGCCGCGUGCAGGAUGAAGGUUUUCGGAUCGUAAACUGCUUUUGUCUGGAAAGAACCCUUUGUCACUAAUAUUGGCAAAGCUGACGGUACCAGACGAAUAAGCCACGGCCAACUCCGUGCCAGCAGUUGUGGUAAUACGGAGGUGGCGAGCGUUACUCGGAAUUAUUGGGUGUAAAGGGCAAGUAGGCGGUUUAGCAAGUGAGAGGUGAAAUCUCCCGAUUUAAUCGGGAAAUUGCCUUUCAAACUGCUAGACUUGAGAAUGGAAGAGGGAAACGGAAUUAGCAGUGUAAGGGUGAAAUUUGUAGAUAUUGUUAAAUAUUAGUGGUGAAGGUGGUUUCCUGGUCCAUUUCUGACGCUGAUUUGCGAAAGCUAGGGUAGCGAACAGAAUUAGAUAUUCUGGUAGUCCUAGCUGUAAACGAUGAGCACUAGGUGUCGGUCCUUUUUGGGGCGGUGCCGCAGCUAAUGCAUUAAGUGCUCCACCUGGGGACUACGGCCGCAAGGCUAAAAUUUAAAGGAAUUGACGGGGACCCGCACAAGCGGUGGAACAUGUGGUUUAAUUCGAUGCUAUGCGAAGAAUUUUACCAGGGCUUGACAUGUAGGCAGUAGUGAACUGAAAGGGGAAUGAUCCGUUAAGUUCGGAAACCUACACAGGUGCUGCAUGGCUGUCGUCAGCUCGUUUCGUGAGAUGUUGGGUUAAGUCCCGCAACGAGCGCAACCAUUGUCCCAUGUUGCCACCCUCAAUAGCUAGCUUGCUAGUUUUGAGGCGCAUUUUUGGGGGACUGCCUGGGAUAACCAGGAGGAAGGUGGAGAUGACGUCAAGUCAGUACGGCCUUUAUGCCCUGGGCUACACACGUGUUACAAUGGGUGGUACAAAGGGUUGCCAACCCGCGAGGGGGAGUUAAUCUCAAAAAACCAUCCUCAGUUCGGAUUGGAGUCUGCAAUUUGACUCCAUGAAGCUGGAAUCGCUAGUAAUGGAAGAGCAGCUCGUUUCCGUGAAUACGUUCCCGGGUCUUGUACACACCGCCCGUCAAGCGAUGAAAGCCGGGGGUACCCGAAGUCCUAUGUAGAUAGGCCGAAGGUAAAUCUGGUGAUUGGCGCUAAGUCGUAACAAGGUA
rnacentral:rRNA from 1 species